GCUUCGAUGGUUCAGUGGUUAAGACGCUGAGUUGUGGCCUCAGAGACCCGGGUUCGAAUCCUGGUCGUGGCA